rnacentral:rRNA from 1 species
CCUACGGGUGGCAGCAGUGAGGAAUAUUGGUCAAUGGACGAAAGUCUGAACCAGCCAUGCCGCGUGCAGGAUGACUGCCCUAUGGGUUGUAAACUGCUUUUGUAUGGGGGUAAAUUGUGAUACGUGUAUCAUUUUGUAUGUACCAUACGAAUAAGGAUCGGCUAACUCCGUGCCAGCAGCCGCGGUAAUACGGAGGAUCCGAGCGUUAUCCGGAUUUAUUGGGUUUAAAGGGAGCGUAGGUGGAUCGUUAAGUCAGUUGUGAAAUUCCGGGGCUCAACCGCAGCAUUGCAGUUGAAACUGGCAGGCUAGAGUACAGUAGAGGUGGGCGGAAUGUGUGGUGUAGCGGUGAAAUGCAUAGAGAUCACGAAGAACUCCGAUUGCGAAGGCAGCUCACUGGAC